rnacentral:rRNA from 1 species
GUGGGGAAUCUUCCGCAAUGGACGAAAGUCUGACGGAGCAACGCCGCGUGAACGAUGACGGCCUUCGGGUUGUAAAGUUCUGUUAUACGGGACGAAUGGUACGACGGCCAAUACCCGUCGUAAGUGACGGUACCGUAAGAGAAAGCCACGGCUAACUACGUGCCAGCAGCCGCGGUAAUACGUAGGUGGCAAGCGUUGUCCGGAAUUAUUGGGCGUAAAGGGCGCGCAGGCGGCGUCGUAAGUCGGUCUUAAAAGUGCGGGGCUUAACCCCGUGAGGGGACCGAAACUGCGAUGCUAGAGUAUCGGAGAGGAAAGCGGAAUUCCAAGUGUAGCGGUGAAAUGCGUAGAGAUUUGGAAGAACACCAGUGGCGAAGGCGACUUUCUGGACGAUGUCUGACGCUGAGGCGCGAAAGCUAGGGGAGCGAACGGGAUUAGAUACCCUAGUAGUCC